UACGGGGGGGGCAAGCGUUGUUCGGAAUUACUGGGCGUAAAGGGCUCGUAGGCGGCCAACUAAGUCGGACGUGAAAUCCCUCGGCUUAACCGGGGAACUGCGCCCUAAACUGUGUGGCUUGAGUGAGAUAGGGGUGUGUGGAACUUCCGGUGGAGCGGUGAAAUGUGUUGAUAUCGGAAGGAACGCCGGUGGCGAAAGCGACACACUGGGUCUCAACUGACGCUGAGGCACGAAAGCCAGGGGAGCGAACGGG
rnacentral:rRNA from 1 species